rnacentral:lncRNA from 1 species
AUGAUGAAUCAUGGCACAGGAUCGAAUGUCACAUCUUUACUAUAUAACAGGAAUUCUAUACAAAAUAAAUAAUUACAUUAUAAGGAGACAACGGUCCAGCAACCCAAAGUUGACUGGGAGACGACGGCCUAGAUCCCUCACGAACACAUCGCAGCAUCCUCCAUGCGCCUCAUCCAGUGGUACCUGUUCUUGACCUGUGGGGGGGUGUGAGACAGCAAGAGUGAGCUCACAUACGUUCAUCGCUCAACAAGUUGUGGGGAAUAAUGUGCAUGAACUCGCCAAAGGCGGGAGCUCACGUGAAGUGUAAGGCUUACCAAAGAAGAUGGUUGAAGCUAAGCAUUGCUUUUAAAGUUGGUCAAAAUUUUAUUAGCAAUUACUAAGUAUAAGUAAAUACCAGCCCAAUUAAUAUAGUAGAACAGAAGUAACAACAUCACCUGCUAUGCAAUGCAUAUGACAAAUUGAAUUUAAGUUCCAUAAAUUAAUCAUGUGAGUGUCCGAGCCGCUCAUGACCGUGAGCACGGCUAGUAUACCAGUUUUACACUCUGCAGAGGUUGCGCAUCUUUACCCACAAGUCAUGUUACCCAUCUGCCAAGGGAUCGCGACUUCCCAUACACCUCUACCGAGGAGGCGAGGCAGGGUAACACUACGAGGCCUUUACAAAGUUCCACUAGCUUCAGAAAACCCGCUACAGUUUAUAGGAAGCUCCAAUGCAGGAAUCCCUUGCAGGACCGCCAUCACAGCAAAAUCCUCCCGAGGGCCUCCCUACACUGACCACUCCCCUACUGCCCUUGCCCCUUUCGGGUAAGGUAGUCUUCCACUAGCUUUCCUAAUUAAUCAGCCAAGGGGUCCCAUUCCUCCCUUGUGGUAGCACUGUUUUCCCGGGUGGUUCUCCAUGUUCCAAUUAACAUAAUGAUCUUAACAUGAACAAUAAAUAAUAACUGAUAACAAAAGUAUAAUCAUGAAUAGUGUAAUCUUCAUACCCAAAACCACAUAAAGCACUAGCAAGUACUACCCAAAAAGUUCAGUGGUAAACAAGGUAUAAAGAUAGUCAAAGCUAGGGUAACCUAUUAGGUCCCAUCAAAAUUAACCUAUGCAGAUCAUUAUGAUUAAUUAGAACAUGAGUGGGUAAAAAGAAGUGAUCAAGGGCACAACUUGCGUGGGACUUGAGAUUUCAGGUACCAACUUGCUCUUCAGAUGACAAGUGACCUCACUCUAGUCGUAGCAAUACAAACAAGCAGUGUAUAGGCAAAAUUAACAUCACACCAAACAUGUAAACAAAAUACAUAAUAAUAAUCUACUCAUUAAAAUAAGAUUCUAGGAACAGAAAUCAUUAAUUUUGGAGUUACGGAUUCUAAGUUAUGAAUUUCUGAAGUUAAUAAGCAUCUAGAAUAGAUUAAUCCAAAUGAAUAAUUUUAAUUUAAGUUUUAUGGUUAAACAAUGUUACUAGUUGAUAGACAAUGUUAAUACAAAAUUAUUGCAACUGGAAUUACUCAAGUUGGAGUUAAAAUGAAUUAACUAUGAAUUUCACAAGUUUCUGGCAUUUAUUUUCACAUUAAAAAUCAUUUUCUAUUUAUUUUUACUGGGUUUCCUAAUUCUCUGGACUGGGCACACAAAACCAGAGGAGCACAGGGUUUAAUUUAUAAGAUUUCCUAGACUCACCCGCGCGGACGGCGGGUUUGUUUUACUAAAACCGCAGGGGUUCUUUUGUAAGUUAUCCUGGUGAAGGGGUAUGGCUGGCUCUCAGCCACAAGAUUAGAUUUGGAUGGCCCAGAUCGAUCCCGAGCCCAUAAUCUACGUAGACCGCUCGAUCGAAGAUCAAUGACCCGCGAUGCAUCAUCACUUCAAUUUCCCUUGCUCUUAACCUUCACCGUCCGAUCAUUACCGAGCGCCCUAGAUUCAAUGGUUAAAAGCGUUCUCAUACCCCCAGCCCGAGCCGCGGCGGCGCACAGGGACAAUACGGCGGCGCGCCAUGGUCGGGUACUAGCACCGCCGCAUACAACCGCCCAAACCUCAGCCCAAGAAUUGCCCCACGAAGAGUAUAUCACGUGCGGUUAGGCAAGGGGUACUAUACCGGUGAUGGAUCGGUGCUGAGGGCCGACGACGGGUUUUGGCGGCUCCGUGGAGGGUUCACGACACCGACGAGCAAUCCCAGCAUCCCCAUCGCCACACGCAGCCCCGCGAUGUCAUGGAAUAGGUCCCUGGAACCGGACGAGGACCCACGGCCCGAGCCGGAUGCCGCAACGACGAUGAAUCGGAGCCUUUAUAGUGGUGGAUCUCUGGCAUCGAAGUCCCCUUGGUGAGAAAUUGUGCAGCCACCGGUUCACAGUCCCACCAGGCGAGGCCGUGAUAGACAUCCUGGUGGACCCAGCCAUCCCCACGGCCCGCCCCCGAGGGAUCGACAUCGGCGAGCCGGAGUUUUCCCCCAUGGCGGACAUGAUUCUCUCACUUCCUCCCAUGAUGGUCGGGUAUGGAGGAUUAGAAGUCAGGUGCUAGCUCGAUGGAAGGAAGGGGGGGGUACCGGGACGCAUCAUAUAGGGCCGAGGAGCGCCCAGGUGGGUUUGGGGCACGCCAAACGCGCGAGAUCCGCGCGGCCGGUUCGGGGUUGGGAGGUUGAAGAAGCCCCAGGGACCCACACGCCAUUGCCUUAGGUGCUUUAGAAAGAAGCUGGCGCGUGCACAAUUUCUGGAUUGAGGGGCCGACAUGCGGGCCCCGCACACCAGCGAGAGCAGCUGAGUGCGGUGCCAAGCCGGUUGGGCCAGCAGACUUAAUACAUGGGCCGGCCAAUGCAAAUUAGCCCAAACGCAGGUAUGACCUUUCCUUUUAUAUUUUGCUUUUUCCUAUUUUCUAUCCAAUUUCAAAAUUGAGUUCAAGUUUGCAGUUGAAAUUUUAAUUUUAGUUUUUUUUAAUGCUCAAACAAAAACACCAGUAUAGAAUUUGCUAAUUUAUUUAUCUAAGUAUUGGUUCACAUAUGCAAUACACAAAUAAUUUUGAAUAUGUGAUCAAAGCUAAAAAGUUUAAUUUAGAAGAACAAAAACAACAAAAAAAAUUCAUUAUAUAUAUAUAUAUAUUUGUGAAAGGUAAGGUUCAAUAUAAGGAAUUACCUUAGGUUGGAUAUAUUUCUUUACAAGUAUUUUAUCUAUAUAGUUUAUUCAAAAAGUACUUCUAGUCUUACGAUGAUUAUUUUCUCCCAUUUUUUUUCUUAGAGAACAUUUUUAUUUAGUUCCUGAGAUGAAUUUUCUCUAGAUCCAAAAAUAGGGUUUUAGGGUGCUACAAAUCCUACCCCCCUUAAUCAGAAAUCUCGUCCUCGAGAUUUGUGAGAAAAUGGAUACAGAAGGAUUGGUUUGUAAUUCGGCUUUUAGUCUAUAACUGGUUCAAAAUCUAGAGUCUUUUUUUGUCAAUGGUGGGUGAUUAUGAGAGCAUAGAUAUCCAAAUACUUAUUAUGUGGGAUAAAAGAUGGAUAGGUUAGGGCAAGAAUAGCCAGGGGUAAGAAAGUUUAUGGUGAGGAAGAACUCCGUGUUGGAUGGCAAUGCAUCAAAAGAUCCAGUUUAACUUCUCUCCUUCCUUGACGAGGUUGAGCUUUUCCCUCUUGAGCAUGGGUGUCUCCAAGAGGUUAAGAUAGAUCAGUAGGUUAUAGCUAGGUAGAGGGUUUAGUAGGUGGCUAUAUGAUAGUUGGGAUUAGUUAUAUAACCAAUUAUGUAGGUCAAGUUGUUUGUGUAUGGCUAAGUCGAUCUAAGUCACCAAUUUAGACUUAAGUGAAUUAGGAGUAUGGCCGAGUUGAUCUAAGAUCUCAAACUGGUUUAUAGGAGCAGGGUCUAAUGUAUUUACUCAGCAUUAACCAAUCCUAUUUGAGUGACUUCCAAUAGGCUUGAUCAUAAUAAAUUAGAUAGGAUUGGGUAUGACUAGAAUAGACUAGAUUAGAUCAUGGUUGCUACAAUAGUGUGGAAUAAAUAUGUCUAUUAGGGCAAGAUGAAUCCAUAUGGAUAAGUUAGAAUCUUUUGAGGUCAGUUAGAUCUAUUAGGAUGAGAUAAAAUACUUUCAAGAUAAGAUGAGUCUAUUAAGAUAAGAGAGAAUCUUGUAGAUAAGAUGGAUAUAUUAAACUAGAUAUAUUUUAAUGGGGGUAUUCUUAGUUUGUAUAGUCAUCUUAUGUUUUUAUAUAUAUUUAUGCCUAUACGUAUAUGUAGAUGUAAUUGUGGACAUUACUCCACAACCAUCACACUCAAUCAAAGAUCCAAAUCAAACAAGUAUCAUAAGAACAAACAUUGAAGCACAUAGAUACCUACAAAAAUAGUUUUGUUUUUGUUCCUAAGAGUAGGUCUCCUAUUCCCAAAAGUCACUUUAGAUACACGAUUUCAAAGUGUGAAAUCAACAUUUGUCUUUUAGAAAGAAAAGGUAAGAAUAAUCAGAGUAAAGCGGAAAUAGAUGAGAAAAGAUUAAGGUAAGUUUAGAAAAGAAUCAGAGUAGUAAAGGUAACUAGAUAAUGGUUUUGUCCAUUUCUAUCUAGGUUUCGUCCUACAGUCAACAUUCCUCUGAUACCACUUCUGUCACACCCGGAUUUUAGGGGUUCAAAACCCGGGCGCGAACAUAAUCACUAGGUGUGCUGGGACCAAGUCUCACACAUAUGAUGAAUCAUGGCACAGGAUCGAAUGUCACAUCUUUACUAUAUAACAGGAAUUCUAUACAAAAUAAAUAAUUACAUUAUAAGGAGACAACAGUCCAGCAACCCAAAGUUGACUGGGAGACGACGGCCUAGAUCCCUCACGAACACAUCGUAGCAUCCUCCAUGCGCCUCAUCCAGUGGUACCUGUUCUUGACCUGUGGGGGGUGUGAGACAGCAAGAGUGAGCUCACAUACGUUCAUCGCUCAACAAGUUGUGGGGAAUAAUGUGCAUGAACUCGCCAAAGGCGGGAGCUCACGUGAAGUGUAAGGCUUACCAAAGAAGAUGGUUGAAGCUAAGCAUUGCUUUUAAAGUUGGUCAAAAUUUUAUUAGCAAUUACUAAGUAUAAGUAAAUACCAGCCCAAUUAAUAUAGUAGAACAGAAGUAACAACAUCACCUGCUAUGCAAUGCAUAUGACAAAUUGAAUUUAAGUUCCAUAAAUUAAUCAUGUGAGUGUCCGAGCCGCUCAUGACCGUGAGCACGGCUAGUAUACCAGUUUUACACUCUGCAGAGGUUGCGCAUCUUUACCCACAAGUCAUGUUACCCAUCUGCCAAGGGAUCGCGACUUCCCAUACACCUCUACCGAGGAGGCGAGGCAGGGUAACACUACGAGGCCUUUACAAAGUUCCACUAGCUUCAGAAAACCCGCUACAGUUUAUAGGAAGCUCCAAUGCAGGAAUCCCUUGCAGGACCGCCAUCGCAGCAAAAUCCUCCCGAGGGCCUCCCUACACUGACCACUCCCCUACUGCCCUUGCCCCUUUCGGGUAAGGUAGUCUUCCACUAGCUUUCCUAAUUAAUCAGCCAAGGGGUCCCAUUCCUCCCUUGUGGUAGCACUGUUUUCCCGGGUGGUUCUCCAUGUUCCAAUUAACAUAAUGAUCUUAACAUGAACAAUAAAUAAUAACUGAUAACAAAAGUAUAAUCAUGAAUAGUGUAAUCUUCAUACCCAAAACCACAUAAAGCACUAGCAAGUACUACCCAAAAAGUUCAGUGGUAAACAAGGUAUAAAGAUAGUCAAAGCUAGGGUAACCUAUUAGGUCCCAUCAAAAUUAACCUAUGCAGAUCAUUAUGAUUAAUUAGAACAUGAGUGGGUAAAAAGAAGUGAUCAAGGGCACAACUUGCCUGGGACUUGAGAUUUCAGGUACCAACUUGCUCUUCAGAUGACACGUGACCUCACGCUAGUCGUAGCAAUACAAACAAGCCGUGUAUAGGCAAAAUUAACAUCACACCAAACAUGUAAACAAAAUAUAUAAUAAUAAUCUACUCAUUAAAAUAAGAUUCUAGGAACAGAAAUCAUUAAUUUUGGAGUUACGGAUUCUAAGUUAUGAAUUUCUGAAGUUAAUAAGCAUCUAGAAUAGAUUAAUCCAAAUGAAUAAUUUAAAUUUAAGUUUUAUGGUUAAACAAUGUUACUAGUUGAUAGACAAUGUUAAUACAAAAUUAUUGCAACUGGAAUUACUCAAUUUGGAGUUAAAAUGAAUUAACUAUGAAUUUCACAAGUUUCUGGCAUUUAUUUUCACAUUAAAAAUCAUUUUCUAUUUAUUUUUACUGGGUUUCCUAAUUCUCUGGACUGGGCACACAAAACCAGAGGAGCACAGGGUUUAAUUUAUAAGAUUUCCUAGACUCAGAAUUCACCCGCGCGGACGGCGGGUUUGUUUUACUAAAACCGCAGGGGUUCUUUUGUAAGUUAUCCUGGUGAAGGGGUAUGGCUGGCUCUCAGCCACAAGAUUAGAUUUGGAUGGCCCAGAUCGAUCCCGAGCCCAUAAUCUACGUAGACCGCUCGAUCGAAGAUCAAUGACCCGCGAUGCAUCAUCACUUCAAUUUCCCUUGCUCUUAACCUUCACCGUCCGAUCAUUACCGAGCGCCCCAGAUUCAAUGGUUAAAAGCGUUCUCAUACCCCCAGCCCGAGCCGCGGUGGCGCACAGGGACAAUACGGCGGCGCGCCAUGGUCGGGUACUAGCACCGCCGCAUACAACCGCCCAAACCUCAGCCCAAGAAUUGCCCCACGAAGAGUAUAUCACGUGCGGUUAGGCAAGGGGUACUAUACCGGUGAUGGAUCGGUGCUGAGGGCCGACGACGGGUUUUGGCGGCUCCGUGGAGGGUUCACGACACCGACGAGCAAUCCCAGCAUCCCCAUCGCCACACGCAGCCCCGCGAUGUCAUGGAAUAGGUCCCUGGAACCGGACGAGGACCCACGGCCCGAGCCGGAUGCCGCAACGACGAUGAAUCGGAGCCUUUAUAGUGGUGGAUCUCUGGCAUCGAAGUCCCCUUGGUGAGAAAUUGUGCAGCCACCGGUUCACAGUCCCACCAGGCGAGGCCGUGAUAGACAUCCUGGUGGACCCAGCCAUCCCCACGGCCCGCCCCCGAGGGAUCGACAUCGGCGAGCCGGAGUUUUCCCCCAUGGCGGACAUGAUUCUCUCACUUCCUCCCAUGAUGGUCGGGUAUGGAGGAUUAGAAGUCAGGUGCUAGCUCGAUGGAAGGAAGGGGGGGUACCGGGACGCAUCAUAUAGGGCCGAGGAGCGCCCAGGUGGGUUUGGGGCACGCCAAACGCGCGAGAUCCGCGCGGCCGGUUCGGGGUUGGGAGGUUGAAGAAGCCCCAGGGACCCACACGCC